rnacentral:rRNA from 1 species
AGGCAGCAGUGGGGGAUAUUGCACAAUGGGGGGAACCCUGAUGCAGCGACGCCGCGUGGGUGAAGAAGCGUCCUCGGCGCGUAAAGCCCUGUCAGCAGGGUAAGAAAAUGACGGUACCUGAAGAAGAAGCCCCGGCUAACUACGUGCC